rnacentral:rRNA from 1 species
CGAGACCUUAACCUGCUAAAUAGCCCGUCCUGCUUUGGCAGUUCGCCGGCUUCUUAGAGGGACUAUCGGCUCAAGCCGAUGGAAGUUUGAGGCAAUAACAGGUCUGUGAUGCCCUUAGAUGUCCUGGGCCGCACGCGCGUUACACUGACAGAGCCAGCGAGUAUUUCCUUGACCGGAAGGUCCGGGUAAUCUUGUUAAACUCUGUCGUGCUGGGGAUAGAGCAUUGCAAUUAUUGCUCUUCAACGAGGAAUCCCUAGUAAGCGCAAG